GUUUUUUUUUACAAAUAAUUGUUAUCUAAAAAAAAAAAAACAAUACCUACUUUUGUGCGCAAAACCCAAUUAUUUUAAAAGGUGCUCCAGGUGGAGAAAAUUCUAAUUGUUUUAAUUAACACCUACAUACAUUAAUUUUGUGUUUUAUUAAACAUUACUGCUUAAAAUUAAAGGUGCUCCAGAGUAAAAAUCGAUCGAAUUCGAUUCGAAACAAAAAAAAACCGACCAUCCAAUCAGACUUUUUAAAGUCUAAAAGUGCUCUUUUUGCUAAGCCACACAAUAUCGCCCAAGUUCAGAAAAAAAAACUAUUUGACUCGCAGCCUGAGCAAACAAAAAAAAAUCACCCCCAAAAUCUCCAUCUUGGAACCUUUUUAUUUAAAUGUGUAAAAAAAGUACAUAUUUUUAUUUUUUUUUUGAUCCUGUUUAAAAAUCCUGCAAGGACUAAAUAAAAUUAACAGCAAAAAAAAAAAAUACAACACACACUCUCAACUCAACAAUCAAAAUCAUCCAAACUUUCAUCCUCGGAAAACAUCCAGGAAAACAUCUAAAAUUGCACUUAUAACCUAAAUAAGCAAUAUCCAGGAAAAACAUAUAAAAUCAUCUUCUACCUGAGCCUUCAUCUCAUCACGUUUCAAAAAAAAAAAUCAUCACAAAACCUAUAAAAGCUAAGUACCUAAAAAUCUUUCUUCCAAGUAAAAAAAUAAAAAAAAAAAAGUUUUAUAAAUCUUAAAUUAUUGCAUAUCUACUAUUUGACCUUGUACAUUCAAUUCGUUCAAAUUUCUUUUUUCUAUUUUACCCUAUUUUAGUCUAGCUUUAAAAUAAAUAAGCAAAAUCAUAACAAAACAACAACAAAAACUCAAUCCUGCGAUGGUGUGCACAUUAUCAGGAGGAAAUGACCAAAUGUGAAUUAUAAACAACGAAGAACAAAAAUACAAUUCACCACUGUAACACAUAAAAAUAUGCAAAAUUGCAAAACAAUUUGUGGGGUAAGUGAGAAUAUUAAUUUAUUGAUUGAAAAUUUGAACGAACGAAUAUAAUUUAAUUUAAUUUAAAUAAUUUUUAAUUGUUGCAAAUUUAAACAUAAAAGAUAAAGAUAUUUGAAAAGUGAAAACAAGAAAGAUACGAAAGAUAAGAAUAAUAAGAUUAAAGAGAAAGAUAGAAAAAAAUAUAUAUAGAGAAAAAGAAAGAAAAAAAGUACACUGAAACUUUCUAAUUGAUAAUUUUUUUUGUUGACAUUGCUAAGGAAGGUGUCAUUGUGAUUUUUUUUUAUUAACUUUUUUUUGUGAUGAUUAAUGAAUUAAUAUUGAAUUCAUAUUAAUUUGAAAUUUAACUAUAAUUAUUUUAUAAUCAAAUUAUAUUUUUUUAUAAAAAAAUUUGAACAUUUAUACAUUUUUCUUUAUUAUCAUUUUGGCUAUAAGUGAUUUGUCGAAACAUUUCGUAUGAGGUUCUAUUGAUAUUUUUUUAAAAUUUUAAUAAAAUUUGUUGUACACUUCAAUUAAGAAAAAAACAUCUUUUAUCUUUACUGAGGUUACUUACAUAUGGAUGGGUUAAUUUUAUUCUGCAUCGAAUUUAGUCAUUUUUUUUUUGUUGUGAAUUUGAUAAGAUGACUUUUGCUAUAAAUUUUUUAUUUUGGCUUUUUGAAGUUGAAACCAUGAUUAUGGUUUAGGUUUUUUUUUUUUCAGGUGGAUGUGGCUCUCACAAGAGUGAGCUAUAAGGCGAUAACGGCAAAAUGAGAACUUAGUUUAUUUUUUUUGUUUUAUUUUGUUCUUUUGGGGUUGCUACAAAUAUUGAGGCCGUGGUAACUAGGUUGGUCACAUGGACCUGCUCAUAGAGUAGGAAUGUGUGACACUAUAGGGUGGGAUAGUCCUCUGAGAGCAAUACAUCUGGCUCUCCUCACUUUCACAAGGAAACAAAAUAUUUUCAGGUUGUAAAAAUAAUAAUGGACAAAUCAGCUUCGCGAUAUUUUUCGUACAAUUUUCAACGGCAUGAAAACGUAACGGCCGUCCAGUUCCCUGGCUACAAGAAUCCCCCCACCGACGAGCUAACCUUUGGCCAUGCAAGCAUGCCGCGCGGUUAGGGAACAGGACACCCAUCCACUUUUGCUUCCAUGUAGGUUUUAGAGUCCCUGUAAGCUCUGAACCCUACUGGUAGUGUAUGGAGUGGGUGGUUUUGGGGUUGAAGUUUUCUUAAAUUUUCAUCUCCGACUCGACAACAUCUCGAGAGUACGUUACAGGUGGCGCCCAACGUGGGGCCCGAUUUUGUCUUGUUUUUGAAAAACUUAAAAAAAAUUUAUAAUUUUUUUUUGAUUUUUGAGUCGCGUUGGUUCAAUGCAAGUUGUUAGUGCUAAAUUAUUUUACAUUCAAUUCUUAUUUUUUUUCUUUUAAUUUUU